GGAGCGGCCGAUGUCAGAUUAGCUAGUUGGUGGGGUAAAGGCCUACCAAGCCGACGACGGGUAGCUGGUCUGAGAGGACGAUCAGCCGGAUUGGGACUGAGAUACGGCCCAGACUCCUACGGGGGGCAGCAAUUAGGAAUCUUGCACAAUGGGGGAAACCCUGAUGCAGCGACGCCGCGUGAAGGAUGAAGCAUUUCGGUGUGUAAACUUCUUUUGACAGGGAAGAAACAAAUGACGGUACCUGUCGAAUAAGCCCCGGCUAACUACGUGCCAGCAGCCGCGGUAAUACGUAGGGGGCGAGCGUUGUCCGAAUUUACUGGGCGUAAAGCGCGCGUAGGCGGUUUCUUAAGUCUGGGGUGAAAGGUUCAACGCUCAACGUGAACAGUGCCUUGGAUACUGGGAGACUUGAGUCUGGGAGGGGGCAGUGGAAUUCCUGGUGUAGCGGUGAAAUGCGUAGAUAUCAGGAGGAACACCGGUGGCGAAGGCGGCUGCCUGGCCUAAGACUGACGCUGAGGUGCGAAAGCGUGGGUAGCGAACGGGAUUAGAUACCCCGGUAGUCCACGCCGUAAACGAUGAGUGCUAGGUGUAGGGGGUAUCGACCCCCCCUGUGCCGUCGCCAACGCAUUAAGCACUCCGCCUGGGGAGUACGGCCGCAAGGUUGAAACUUAAAUGAAUUGACGG
rnacentral:rRNA from 1 species